CUUAGCCAAUUUUUUUUAGUUUUUGGAGAUUUUGCACUAAAGGCGGUAAACCAUUCACCGUCUUUAGUGCAAACAACCCCAGCACCUUUUUUCAGUUAGAUUUUAAAAAUAAUUUGAACAAAUUUGAGUUAAGAAUUUUCACGAGAACAAAUAUUUCAACAAGAAACACAACAAGACAAGUAGAACAACAAGAUACAAUCAGUAGCAUAAGAAUAUUAACAAAAACGUAGACAAAUAUUCAAAUAUGAACUAAAUAAAGUGAUAUAAUAUUAUACAAUCCAAUUCGAUCUAAAUCAACAAGAUACAAUCAGUCUCUCGAUCUUCCUCUCCCUCGACAUCCUCAGCCACGUCCUCGUGCAUGGCUACGUCCAUGUCUACGGCCACGAUCCAUAUCGAGCUCAGUAAUAGGUAC
rnacentral:lncRNA from 1 species